ACUCAAAUGAAUUGACGGGGGCCCGCACAAGCGGUGGAGCAUGUGGCUUAAUUCGAUGCAACGCGAAGAACCUUACCUGGCCUUGACAUGCUGGUAGUAGAAGCCGGAAACGGUGACGACUCCUCGCAAGAGGAGAGCCAGCACAGGUGCUGCAUGGUUGUCGUCAGCUCGUGUCGUGAGAUGUUGGCUUAAGUGCCGCAACGAGCGCAACCCCUGUGUUUAGUUGCCUGCGAAAGCGGGAUCUCUAAACAGACUGCCUCGCUUUAAACGAGGAGGAAGGUGGGGAUGACGUCAAAUCAGUAUGGCCCUUACGGCCAGGGCUGCACACGUGCUACAAUGCAUGGUACAGAGGGACGCAAGACCGCGAGGUGGAGCAAAUCCCAUAAAACCAUGCCCAGUUCAGAUUGAAGGCUGCAACUCGCCUUCAUGAAGCCGGAAUCGCUAGUAAUGGCGCAUCAGCUACGGCGCCGUGAAUACGUUCCCGGGCCUUGUACACACCGCCCGU
rnacentral:rRNA from 1 species